rnacentral:rRNA from 1 species
GGGGAUGACGUCAAGUCAUCAUGGCCCUUACGGCCAGGGCUACACACGUACUACAAUGGUAGGGACAGAGGGCUGCAAGCCGGCGACGGUAAGCCAAUCCCAGAAACCCUAUCUCAGUCCGGAUUGGAGUCUGCAACUCGACUCCAUGAAGUCGGAAUCGCUAGUAAUCGCAGAUCAGCAUUGCUGCGGUGAAUACGUUCCCGGGCCUUGUACACACCGCCCGUCACACCAUGGGAGUUUGUUGCACCAGAAGCAGGUAGCUUAACCUUCGGGAGGGCGCUUGCCACGGUGUGGCCGAUGACUGGGGUGAAGUCGUAACAAGGUAGCCGUAUCGGAAGGUGCGGCUGGAUCACCUCCUUU